GAAUAGUAUGAGGGGAGAGAAGGCUUAGCAUUUUGCACUCCCCUUGAAAAAAAUGGAAGAGGUCCUAGUGGCCUUUACAACACAUAAUGGUUAGGCAUUGCCAACUGCUCUUUGGCAUUGAACCAGGCAUAUAU